UGGGGAAUCUUGCGCAAUGGGCGAAAGCUUGACGCAGCAACGCCGCGUGGGUGAUGAAGGCCUUCGGGUCGUAAAGCCCUGUCGGAGGGAACGAAUUCUUCCUGGGUGAAUAAUCCAGGGAAGUGACGGUACCCUCAAAGGAAGCACCGGCUAACUCCGUGCCAGCAGCCGCGGUAAUACGGAGGGUGCAAGCGUUGUUCGGAAUUAUUGGGCGUAAAGCGCGUGUAGGCGGCUCGUUAAGUCAUGUGUGAAAGCCCUCGGCUCAACCGGGGAACGGCGCGUGAAACUGGCGAACUUGAGUACGGAAGAGGGGGGUGGAAUUCCAGGUGUAGCGGUGAAAUGCGUAGAUAUCUGGAGGAACAUCAGUGGCGAAGGCGGCUACCUGGACUAACACUGACACUGAGGCACGAAAGCGUGGGGAGCAAACAGGAUUAGAUACCCUGGUAGUCCACGCUGUAAACGAUGGGUACUAGACGUUGGGAAGUUUAAUCUUCUUAGUGUCGCAGCUAACGCAUUAAGUACCCCGCCUGGGGAGUACGGCCGCAAGGUUA
rnacentral:rRNA from 1 species